CCCUUAGAUGUCCGGGGCUGCACGCGCGCUACACUGAAGGAAUCAGCGUGCUAAAACCAUUGUCGAAAGGCAUUGGUAAACCCAUUAAAAUCCUACGUGAUUGGGAUCGGGAAUUGCAAUUAUUUCCCUUGAACGAGGAAUUCCCAGUAAGUGUGGGUCAUAAGCUCGCGUUGAUUACGUCCCUGCCCUUUGUACACACCGCCCGUCGCUGCCCGGGACUGAGCCGUUUCGAGAAAAGCGAGGACUGCUGCUGUCGGGGCUUUCGGGCCUUGGCUUCGGUGGAAACCGCUUUAAUCGCAGUGGCUUGAACCGGGCAAAAGUCGUANCA
rnacentral:rRNA from 1 species